UACGAAGGGGGCUAGCGUUGCUCGGAAUUACUGGGCGUAAAGGGCGCGUAGGCGGAUAGUUUAGUCAGAGGUGAAAGCCCAGGGCUCAACCUUGGAAUUGCCUUUGAUACUGGCUAUCUUGAGUUCGGGAGAGGUGAGUGGAAUGCCGAGUGUAGAGGUGAAAUGCGUAGAUAUCAGGAGGAAUACCGGUGGCGAAAGCGACUCUCUGGACGGCAACUGACGCUGAGGCACGAAAGCGUGGGGAGCAAACAGG
rnacentral:rRNA from 1 species